CCUCGGGUGGCAGCAGUAGGGAAUAUUGGACAAUGGGGGAAACCCUGAUCCAGCGAUGCCGCGUGGAUGAUGAAGGCCUUCGGGUCGUAAAGUCCUUUUCUGAGGGAAGAACUGUCUGGCGAGGAAAUGCGCUGGAUUUGACGGUACCUCAGGAAUAAGCAACGGCUAACUCCGUGCCAGCAGCCGCGGUAAUACGGAGGUUGCAAGCGUUGUUGGGAAUAACUGGGAGUAGGGGGAGCGCAGGCGGCUUGAAAUUCCAGGGCUCAACCCUGGACGUGCUUUGGAUAAUGCCUGGCUUGAGUACGGGAGAGGAGAUUGGAAUUCCAGGUGUAGCGGUGAAAUGCGUAGAUAUCUGGAGGAACACCGGUGGCGAAAGCGGAUCUCUGGCACGUUACUGACGCUGAGGCUCGAAAGCAUGGGGAGCAAACGGGAUUAGAUACCCGGGUAGUC
rnacentral:rRNA from 1 species